UACGUAGGGGGCAAGCGUUGUCCGGAAUCAUUGGGCGUAAAGAGCGUGUAGGCGGCCAGAUAAGUCCGCUGUGAAAACUCGAGGCUCAACUUCGAGCUGUCGGUGGAAACUAUUUGGCUAGAGUCCGGAAGAGGAAAGUGGAAUUCCUGGUGUAGCGGUGAAAUGCGCAGAUAUCAGGAAGAACACCCGUGGCGAAGGCGGCUUUCUGGGACGGUACUGACGCUGAGACGCGAAAGCGUGGGGAGCGAACAGG
rnacentral:rRNA from 1 species